rnacentral:rRNA from 1 species
AUUGAACGCUGGCGGCAGGCCUAACACAUGCAAGUCGAGCGAACCUAGCUUGCUAGGUGAGCGGCGAACGGGUGAGUAACGCGUAGGAAUCUGCCUGGUAGUGGGGGACAACGUUCCGAAAGGAACGCUAAUACCGCAUACGCCUACGGGGAAAGGUAGGGGGAGUCUUCGGACCUCACGCUAUCAGAGGAGCCUGCGUCGGAUUAGCUAGUUGGUGGGGUAAAGGGCUCACCAAGGCGACGAUCCGUAGCUGGUCUGAGAGGAUGAUCAGCCACACCGGAACUGAGACACGGUCCGGACUCCUACGGGAGGCAGCAGUGGGGAAUAUUGGACAAUGGGGGGCAACCCUGAUCCAGCCAUGCCGCGUGUGUGAAGAAGGCCUCGGUUGGUAAGACACUUUAAGUACGGGGGAGGGAAAGGUUUACGUAAAGUUAAAUU